rnacentral:tRNA from 1 species
GGGGUGUGGCUCAGCGGUGGAGCGCUUGCCUAGCAUGUGUGAGACACUGGGUUGGAUCCUCAGCACCACCU